UAUAGAAAAUAUUUUGAAGUUUAUCCUAGAAGAUGAGCUUCAUCAAAUAGAUGCAUAUUCUGUAGGAAAGAGAAUGCCUUUUUGUUAGACAUCUGAACGAAGUCCAGAGGAUCACCUCUACACAAUCACCUCUUAAAAGGUUUGGACUUCUGGGAUGUUCUUGACAUCAACCUGCAAAAUGGCCACAGCUUGGAGGGACACCUUCCCUUUUGCCACCAGCCAUUCAUGUUAAACCAGUGCAGCACCAAUGGGGAGCUUUAGCUAAGAAGAUACUGCUGACAGCACUGAGAAUAGUGGAAGUCCUGUAACCACCAUCACUCCCUCUGUCAUCUGCAGAAAAUGAAAAACUUAAGAAGACUUUUCCUUUAAAACAAAUGCUUAUGAAUAUCACUGCUGCACCUUUGUGAUUUUAAAUUCAAGUUGCAAAUAGUCACACAAUAAAGUUGUGUGUUUUACACAGUUGCCACCAGUUUCAGCUUGUGUUUGAACUUCAUCAGACUAUUCAGAUUAGAAUGGGCAGGUCUCAUCAGACCUGGCUUUCUCUGCAUGUUGGGUAGGAUGGAUGGAAUUUCUCUUAAUUCAUGGAAAGCUCCUCAGUCGUUUCUGCAUUUUACCUUAGAGAGAUGAAGGUGAAGACACUGACCAAGAAUUGUUGGUGUGAAUUGCUGGUCUGUUAACUGACAGUUUGAAACAGUUUUAUAUCAGUCUCUUGAAUGUUGAAUUUGCUUGUGAUUGGAUAUUUUUAAUUUUCAACUGCUUUAACUUCUAUUAUAAGUUGAAAUUAUAACAGUGGGGAAAUUAAAG